rnacentral:rRNA from 1 species
GAUGAACGCUAGCUACAGGCUUAACACAUGCAAGUCGAGGGGCAGCAUGGUCUUAGCUUGCUAAGGCCGAUGGCGACCGGCGCACGGGUGAGUAACACGUAUCCAACCUGCCGUCUACUCUUGGACAGCCUUCUGAAAGGAAGAUUAAUACAAGAUGGCAUCAUGAGUCCGCAUGUUCACAUGAUUAAAGGUAUUCCGGUAGACGAUGGGGAUGCGUUCCAUUAGAUAGUAGGCGGGGUAACGGCCCACCUAGUCUUCGAUGGAUAGGGUUCUGAGAGGAAGGUCCCCCACAUUGGAACUGAGACACGGUCCAAACUCCUACGGGAGGCAGCAGUGAGGAAUAUUGGUCAAUGGGCGAGAGCCUGAACCAGCCAAGUAGCGUGAAGGAUGACUGCCCUAUGGGUUGUAAACUUCUUUUAUAAAGGAAUAAAGUCGGGUAUGGAUACCCGUUUGCAUGUACUUUAUGAAUAAGGAUCGGCUAACUCCGUGCCAGCAGCCGCGGUAAUACGGAGGAUCCGAGCGUUAUCCGGAUUUAUUGGGUUUAAAGGGAGCGUAGAUGGAUGUUUAAGUCAGUUGUGAAAGUUUGCGGCUCAACCGUAAAAUUGCAGUUGAUACUGGAUAUCUUGAGUGCAGUUGAGGCAGGCGGAAUUCGUGGUGUAGCGGUGAAAUGCUUAGAUAUCACGAAGAACUCCGAUUGCGAAGGCAGCCUGCUAAGCUGCAACUGACAUUGAGGCUCGAAAGUGUGGGUAUCAAACAGGAUUAGAUACCCUGGUAGUCCACACGGUAAACGAUGAAUACUCGCUGUUUGCGAUAUACAGCAAGCGGCCAAGCGAAAGCGUUAAGUAUUCCACCUGGGGAGUACGCCGGCAACGGUGAAACUCAAAGGAAUUGACGGGGGCCCGCACAAGCGGAGGAACAUGUGGUUUAAUUCGAUGAUACGCGAGGAACCUUACCCGGGCUUAAAUUGCAGAUGAAUUACGGUGAAAGCCGUAAGCCGCAAGGCAUCUGUGAAGGUGCUGCAUGGUUGUCGUCAGCUCGUGCCGUGAGGUGUCGGCUUAAGUGCCAUAACGAGCGCAACCCUUGUUGUCAGUUACUAACAGGUUCCGCUGAGGACUCUGACAAGACUGCCAUCGUAAGAUGUGAGGAAGGUGGGGAUGACGUCAAAUCAGCACGGCCCUUACGUCCGGGGCUACACACGUGUUACAAUGGGGGGUACAGAGGGCCGCUACCACGCGAGUGGAUGCCAAUCCCCAAAACCUCUCUCAGUUCGGACUGGGGUCUGCAACCCGACUCCACGAAGCUGGAUUCGCUAGUAAUCGCGCAUCAGCCACGGCGCGGUGAAUACGUUCCCGGGCCUUGUACACACCGCCCGUCAAGCCAUGGGAGCCGGGGGUACCUGAAGUGCGUAACCGCGAGGAGCGCCCUAGGGUAAAACUGG